UAGCUUAGUUGGUAGUGCGUCUGCCUUGUAAGCGCUAGUCCGCGGGUUCGAUUCCCGC
rnacentral:tRNA from 1 species